rnacentral:rRNA from 1 species
GUAUUCCUUCGGGGAUGCUUAGCGGCGGACGGGUGAGUAACACGUAGGCAACCUGCCCACAAGACCGGGAUAACAUUCGGAAACGAAUGCUAAGACCGGAUACGCAAGCCUGGGGCAUCCCGGGCUUGGGAAACACGGCGCAAGCUGUGGCUUGUGGAUGGGCCUGCGGCGCAUUAGCUAGUUGGCGGGGUAACGGCCCACCAAGGCGACGAUGCGUAGCCGACCUGAGAGGGUGAACGGCCACACUGGGACUGAGACACGGCCCAGACUCCUACGGGAGGCAGCAGUAGGGAAUCUUCCACAAUGGGCGAAAGCCUGAUGGAGCAACGCCGCGUGAGUGAGGAAGGCUUUCGGGUCGUAAAGCUCUGUUGCCAGGGAAGAAUAAGGGCCAGUUAACUGAUGGUCCGAUGACGGUACCUGAGAAGAAAGCCCCGGCUAACUACGUGCCAGCAGCCGCGGUAAUACGUAGGGGGCAAGCGUUGUCCGGAAUUAUUGGGCGUAAAGCGCGCGCAGGCGGUCUUUUAAGUCUGGUGUUUAAGUGCGGGGCUCAACCCCGUGACGCACUGGAAACUGGGAGACUUGAGUGCAAAAGAGGAGAGCGGAAUUCCACGUGUAGCGGUGAAAUGCGUAGAGAUGUGGAGGAACACCAGUGGCGAAGGCGGCUCUCUGGACUGUAACUGACGCUGAGGCGCGAAAGCGUGGGGGAGCAACAGGAAUAGAUACCCUGGUAGUCCACGCCGUAAACGAUGAGUGCUAAGUGUUGGGGGGGGUCCACCCCUCGGUGCCGAAAGUAACACAUUAAGCACUCGCCCUGGGNAGUACGGUCGCAAGACUGAAACUCAAAGGAAUGACGGGGACCCGCACAACAAG